rnacentral:lncRNA from 1 species
GAGCGUCCGCGGCCCGCGCAGAGCCGCGCACCAAGCCGAUGGCGGUGGACGCAGCAGGGCCCCGCGGUCUGAGUGCGGGCAGGCGCGCGUGGGCGUGUCUCCCUGGCCCACGCGUGUCCCCGGCAUCAGUGUCUCGGCUCUGGUCCAGGACGAAGACUUCUGAAAGCGAGCCAAGGAGAAUCACAGUUCUUAACGGAGCCCCUGACUGCCCGGUGGAAGGAGGUGAUUUAGAAGACAGUGAGACUCAGCUACUGUUCCCAUCGAGAUGCAAAGGACACAGAGCUCACGGGUGCUCCAGCAAUGCUGGUGUCAUGUUUGGAGGUAGCUGUCUAUGGACUACAGUAUUCUCCCAGUGCUAGUCUGCAGUCACUGCAAAGCCUCCCAAUAGAACAUUUCUUCCUGAGCCAACCUAUCAGUGCAGCUCUGGAAGCAAAUGACCUCUCCUGGCAGAGCCUUCACUGUGUGGGGAACAUCAGAUUUGUGUAAAGAAGGUGUGCACUGUAGAGAAGCUGCUGCGAAGGCCACAGGUCACUCAGGAAAAUUUGGGGCAGUUUUCUAGGUUCAAGGGAGACUGGACAUCAAAGCUGCACUGGGACAUAUGGACGCCUUGAUCCACUUUGGCCAUUCCACCUCAGCUCAGAAUUACUCACUGGUGUCAGCACAGGAUGUUUCUUGGCUUCAAACCAUUUGGAUAAGUGAUGGCAGCAAGCUUCGCCACUGUAAAGUCACCUCUUUGUAAGAAGACAGGAGCUCUUUGUAAAGAAUAUGAGACCUGAGGCUGGGGGAUGGCUGAGAAGGGAAAAGCACCUCUGCACAAGCGUGAGAAAAGGAGUUUGUUCUUCCACAUCCAUGUAGAAAUCUUGAUGCCGUGCCGUGAACCCCAGCUCUCCUACGGGAAGAUGGGAGGCGUAGACAGGAGUUCAUCUGGAAGCUUGAGGCCAGCCACCCAGAUCCUCAGAGCUGCAGACAAAAGAGAGGCCCUGCAGCAAAAGAGUGGAAGGUGAGAACCAACUCCGGAAAGUUGCCCUCUGACCUUUACAAGUGUAUACAUCCACACACAUACAAUAAAAUCAAUUGCUCAAUCACGUA